GGCUUGGUAAUUGGAAUGAGGGAGAGUUAAACGGACCAUCGAGUAUCCAUUGGAGGGCAAGUCUGGUGCCAGCAGCUGCGGUAAUACCAGCUCCAAUAGCGUAUAUUAAAGUUGUUGCAGUUAAAAAGCUCGUAGUUGGACUUGUGUGCGCUGUCCGCGGGUGGCCUGCGCCCAUAAGGGCGUUUCGGUUCGGCCCCGGUGGCGCCUUGAAAUCUGCAGCUGGGGGGACGUUGGCCUUAACUGGUCGGCGACCGCACGCCGGCUGCUCGGUUACUGUGAGAAAAUUAGAGUGUUCAAGGCAGGCAUUGGGUGCAAUUGAAUACAUUAGCAUGGAAUAAUAAAAUAUGGCUCCUGCCGUAUUUUGUUGGUUUUGACUGGUGGGAGUAAUGAUUGAUAGGGACGGUUGGGGGUGCUAGUAUUGAGCGGCCAGAGGUGAAAUUCAUGGAUUCGCUCAAGACUAACUUAUGCGAAAGCAUUCACCAAGGACGUCCUCUUUAAUCAAGAACGAAAGUUGGGGGAUCGAAGACGAUCAGAUACCGUCGUAGUCUCAACCAUAAACUAUGUCGACUUGGGAUCGGCGGUAGUUUUUUCAUUAAGACACUGUCGGGACCACGGGAGAAAUCAAAGUGUCUGGACUCUGGGGGAAGUAUGGUCGCAAGGCUGAAACUUGAAGGAAUUGACGGAAGGGCACCACCAGGAGUGGAGCCUGCGGCUUAAUUUGACCCAACACGGGGAAACUUACCAGGUCCAGAGAUGUAGAGGAUUGACAGAUUGAAGCUCUUUCUUGAUCACUUCGGUGGUGGUGCAUGGCCGUUCUUAGUUGGUGGAGUGAUUUGUCUGGUUAAUUCCGUUAACGAACGAGACCUCAGCCUGCUAGUGUAGUCGGCUGGAUUGCCUUUGGCGAUCCGUGAUUUCGACUUCUUAGAGGGACAAUCGACGCGCAGUCGAUGGAAGUUUGAGGCAAUAACAGGUCUGUGAUGCCCUUAGAUGUUCUGGGCCGCACGCGCGCUACACUGCUGGGCUCAGCGAGUUUUACUUGGCCGAGAGGCCCGGUUAAUCUUGUGAAAUCCCAGCGUGCUUGGGCUCGCCUCCUGCAACUGGAGGCGCCAACGAGGAAUUCCUAGUAGACGCAGGUCAUCAACCUGCAUCGAUUACGUCCCUGCCCUUUGUACACACCGCCCGUCGUUCCAUAAGAGUGAGGCAUCCGGUGAAUUCUCGGGAGAGCCUGGGCGUGGCCAGCAAUGGUCUGCUCGGGUUUGAACUUGCAUAAACUUGGUGCCUAUGAUUAGGG
rnacentral:rRNA from 1 species